rnacentral:miRNA from 1 species
UGAUGAUGACGAUGAUGAUGAUGACGAUGAUGAUGAUGGCGAUGAUAAAAACAAGAAAUCAAUCAGGAUGAUGAUAAUGCUGCUAUCGUCAAAUCAUCAUCAUCAUCAUCAACAACA